AGGCCAGAGAGAAAAAGAAGCAUGGAAACCGGGAAAGGCCAUUUAGGCCCAAAGAUCCAGCCCAACCCAAAUUAGUCUCCCCUCCUGAAACCAAAAAAUCCAAGGGAUCUUCACCAAUCAAACAAACAGAUCCCCAAAAUCAGCACAUCAAAUUUCAUCAAUGGCGUCGCCAGGCAAAUCGAUGAUUCAAACCCUAAAGCGGUUCAUGAAGAAGCCAUGGGAGUUCACUGGUCCCCAAACAAGUCCCGAGUAUUUAGAUUCUAUACCCAAAGCAACGGAGUACAGAGUCUUCUCUCCUGCCACUCCCAAAUUUCAGGCCAUUGUCCCUACGUCCAAUCCCGAAACGGUUUUCGAUAUCAAGUAUCACACUCGUGAUCAGAGGCGUAAUCGCCCUCCAAUCAAGCGCACCUUUCUCAACAAAGCUGAUGUUGAGAAGAUGAGGAUGGAGUAUAAGUUUGACGUUAAUGAUUUUCCUAAGCCCUAUUUGACUGCUAAGGUUGUUGAGGAUGAUAAUGCUAUUGGUGGUGGCUACCAGAAAUAAAGGCUGUGUAUUUGCGGCGAAGACUCCAGUUGCUGUCAAUAAUCGCAGCUGAUGAUGUUUGCAGUGUCAACCAAGUGUAUUGCAAAUGUACUCCCUUUUUUUAACAUGUUGAGAUAUAUAUUCUUGGAGCAAUUUGGUUUUAAAGUGAAAAGUUUCACCCAUUGAAUAAUUUUGUCCAUUUAGCUUAUGCAGAUUGUUCCCUGCCUUGUGUUUGAAAGGGCAAAGUUAGUCGAACGCAACAUCUGAUUAGCUAUAUAGUAUGAUUCUGAUUUCCCAAAGUUUAUGGUGUUGAAGAUUUGUUUCAUAUCUUACUAUGGAGUUCAAGAAAAUAAUAAAAUAAAUUUUAGAUGUGACUA